CAUCCAAGGAAGGCAGCAGGCGCGCAAAUUACCCAAUCCCAAUACGGGGAGGUAGUGACAAUAAAUACUGAUACGGGGCUCUUUCGGGUCUCGUAAUUGGAAUGAGUACAAUCUAAAUCCCUUAACGAGGAACAAUUGGAGGGCAAGUCUGGUGCCAGCAGCCGCGGUAAUUCCAGCUCCAAUAGCGUAUAUUAAAGUUGUUGCCGUUAAAAAGCUCGUAGUUGAACCUUGGACCUGGCUGAUCUGUCCUCCUAAUCGAGCGCACGGAUUCGGUCGGGUCUUUCCUUCUGGGGAGCCCUAUGCCCUUCACUGGGUGUAGUGGGGAACCAGGACUUUUACCUUGAAAAAAUUAGAGUGUUCAAAGCAGGCCUUUGCUCGAAUACAUUAGCAUGGAAUAAUAGAAUAGGACAUCGGUUCUAUUUUGUUGGUUUCUAGGACCGCUGUAAUGAUUAAUAGGGAUAGUCGGGGGCGUCAGUAUUCAAUUGUCAGAGGUGAAAUUCUUGGAUUUAUUGAAGACUAACUACUGCGAAAGCAUUCGCCAAGGAUGUUUUCAUUAAUCAGUGAACGAAAGUUAGGGGAUCGAAGACGAUCAGAUACCGUCGUAGUCUUAACCAUAAACUAUGCCGACUAGGGAUCGGACGGUGGUUUUUUUAUGCCCCGUUCGGCACCUUACGAGAAAU
rnacentral:rRNA from 1 species